UUAAGACCAAAAUGUAUUUAACUACUCUUAAUAACUGCGGAUUAUGCAAAUGAUCACUCGUUCUGGCCCACAACGAACUCAUCAAAGUUUAACUUUACUCGAGUCUCUGAUCAUCAAAUUCUUGCGUCCACCGCUGAAGAUUCAAGAUCUUUUCCGUCAAGAAUCUUUAUUUCUUUUUCUGCUCCCAUUUCUAUUCUAACUUUUUUUCGCCUUAUCCAAUUUCUGGAAUCUUCAAAAAGAUAUCUUUAAACCCUUUUCAAUAUACUUGAACAAACUAUCUGUUUUACUUGUUUUUCCAUCUUUUAACUCAUACCCAUUUCGUCUUCUUCUCUCAUCCUGAAGUUGAAGCCAAAGGGAAAUUAUGUCCCGGAAGAUGUGACAGAAGAACUCUUUGACAAAUUCAACCUUUUUUGAGAACCAUAGUUUAGAAGGUGAUUGUUGUUCAUUCUGAAGACAAUGGAAACCAAUGGUAGUAAUUCUCAUUCCCAUGAAAAUCAGACUUCAGA